AUAGGUGGGAGGCUUUGAAGCGUGGACGCCAGUCUGCGUGGAGCCGACCUUGAAAUACCACCCUUUAAUGUUUGAUGUUCUAACGUGGACCCGUUACCCGGGUUGCGGACAGUGUCUGGUGGGUAGUUUGACUGGGGCGGUCUCCUCCUAAAGAGUAACGGAGGAGCACGAAGGUUGGCUAAUCCUGGUCGGACAUCAGGAGGUUAGUGCAAUGGCAUAAGCCAGCUUGACUGCGAGCGUGACGGCGCGAGCAGGUGCGAAAGCAGGUCAUAGUGAUCCGGUGGUUCUGAAUGGAAGGGCCAUCGCUCAACGGAUAAAAGGUACUCCGGGGAUAACAGGCUGAUACCGCCCAAGAGUUCAUAUCGACGGCGGUGUUUGGCACCUCGAUGUCGGCUCAUCACAUCCUGGGGCUGAAGUAGGUCCCAAGGGUAUGGCUGUUCGCCAUUUAAAGUGGUACGCGAGCUGGGUUUAGAACGUCGUGAGACAGUUCGGUCCCUAUCUGCCGUGGGCGCUGGAGAACUGAGGGGGGCUGCUCCUAGUACGAGAGGACCGGAGUGGACGCAUCACUGGUGUUCGGGUUGUCAUGCCAAUGGCACUGCCCGGUAGCUAAAUGCGGAAGAGAUAAGUGCUGAAAGCAUCUAAGCACGAAACUUGCCCCGA
rnacentral:rRNA from 1 species